UUUAGUAUCCUAUGUGCCGGCUGCUGCCUGAGCCCUCCUUGCACUGUCACAGGGCUCCGAGCUGAUGGGAUUGAUUCUCACAAGGCUGCCGUGACGCUUCAACUCGUCUUCCAGACUGCCCCCACUCAGGAACUCCAUAAUGAAGAAGGCAUGCCGCUGGUUAUACAGACAUAUACGGUAUACGAGUCUUGAUGUCUCUGAGAAAGCCAAUGAGUAAAACACAUCAGACAUGACGCCAUCAGGAGUGGACAGACCAGGAAAACACGGUGGACAAAAAUGCUGGGUAAAAAAUCCAAUCUCCUUAAUGAUUUUAACAAUUUAGACAGAUACAUAUAGGAAGCCAGAAGUGCAGACUGAGGAUCUGCAUUCAUUUCUCUGCGCUACAGGUUCGUGUGUUUGUGAGUACCCACCUUAUUGCGGUUGAUUUAAAUGAUGCUUGGUGUGAAAAUGGCUAAUCUACUCACCUAGACUAUGACGAUGCAUGAAUAAUAUGGUGGAUAGAAUACUGAAUCACAAACAAGAAUUUUAUAGAACUUACUGUUUUAUAUUGUUGAAUAUAUUUUUUUCCCUUGGGUGAUACAAAUUUUUCAGUACAUACAAAACUAUAUUUUUUUUUUUCUGUCUUCCUUGGUUUGUUUGUGUGUUUGUUUAAACUGCACUGGAGAACUGAAAUUUUUUAUUGGUGUCAGAAUCUUGUGCCAGCAGGCGUGAAUAUCUCCGGAAAUAACAAUCAAGUGUUCCUGAGCACCUCUACCUGACAUAGGAAGUCGCCUCCCCUGUACCCGGCAAUUUUCCCUGAAAGUACCAUACCAAUUUGAUACAAAAAUGCCAUCAGUCUUACUGUCUUAUUGGGUAACAUGGCGCAAAUGUGAUCCAGAGCUGUGGCCAGUGCCCACUGGGGUAUAAUUAGCUUUUCCUGACCUGAUGCAAUUAGAUUGAUGAAGGCUGUCAGUCAAGCUUUUGAGCUGCUGCUCUGUAAUAUUGUUGUAAAUGUGCCCCCUAUUAUUAUAGAAGGCCGUAAAUCUCAAGGUGACUUGAAAUGUUCAGGUACAGGAUAUGCCAGGCACAAAUCUGAUGUAAUCAUCAAUAAUUCUGAAGUUUGUUUUCAGCCCAAGGCUUGUAAAACUGUUCUGCAGAACUGUAAACUUUUCAUUGUUCCCUGUGCCCUUCAAAUAAAUCCCUGUUCAGAAACCUGACACAUAAGCAAAUAGCUGGAAUGUGAAGCAGCAGAACACAGCAGGAUUAAAUCUAUGCAGAUAUUUUAUAAGUGUGCCAUUGCGGAAUAAAAUCCUCAGUGUUUGAUUACAAGCAGAAUUUUACUCGGUAGUCUGGUCUCUUCUUAAUGUAGACAUGGUGUGAGCACUGACGGUAUCUGCUCCUGCUGGCUUAAAGGCACACUGACGUUUUAUUUAUGGCCUUCAAAGUCGUCUAAACUCGACAUGGUAUAAACUCGAAUUAAACUCGAUCAUUGUUGUAUUUAUAAAAUGUCACGAUAAUGCUGUCA